GAUCCUGGCUCAGAUUGAACGCUGGCGGCGUGCUUAACACAUGCAAGUCGCGCGUGAAAGGACUUCGGUCCGAGUAAAGCGGCGCACGGGUGAGUAACGCGUGGAUGAUCUACCCAUGAGUUAGGAAUAACGGCUGGAAACGUCGCUAAUACCAAAUACGCUCCGAUUUCAACUUCGGGGGAAAGGUGGCCUCUGCUUGCAAGCUACUGCUCAUGGAUGAGUCCGCGUCCCAUUAGCUAGUUGGUGGGGUAACGGCCCACCAAGGCGACGAUGGGUAGCCGGUCUGAGAGGAUGACCGGCCACACUGGGACUGGAACACGGCCCAGACUCCUACGGGAGGCAGCAGUGGGGAAUAUUGCGCAAUGGGCGAAAGCCUGACGCAGCGACGCCGCGUGAGGGAUGAAGGUCCUCGGAUCGUAAACCUCUGUCAGGAGGGAAGAACCGCCACGGUGCUAAUCAGCCGUGGUCUGACGGUACCUCCAAAGGAAGCACCGGCUAACUCCGUGCCAGCAGCCGC
rnacentral:rRNA from 1 species